AAUUGCUGACUUUGGUUAUCACAGGAUGUGUACAGCAGUGAUUAUUUCAGGUUAGGUGAGUCAGAGUUGCUGCCCAUUAGGUGGAUGCCCCCUGAAGCUAUUAUGUUGUGUAAAUUCACAAUAGACAGUGACGUGUGGUCCUAUGGUGUAGUACUGUGGGAGAUAUUCUCAUAUGGUAUUCAACCUUACUAUGGGAUGAGCAAUGAAGAAGUGAUUAAAUAUG